UUUCUUCUGGGCUUGGUUCCGGAGGAGGCCAAAAGAGAGUUUACCAGGGAAGCAAUUUGAAGGCAAAAGUCCACUCUAAAGUGAAGACUGCCUAUGAGAGGUGAACACAAGAGAUUACCCUGAAGGUCACAGACCGGCUGGUUGGUGUAUGCAAAAGAGAAAGAGAGACCCUGUUUGAAAAAGACUGAAGGUUUGCUGAGUUGAAUGCCAAAGAGUCUUCGAAGGACGAUUUCCAUUCAGGGAGAUCCGGUUACCCAGCUCCUAGAAAAAGAAGAAGACAUUCCUUAGGGCAGCAAUCCACACAUUGUUGGAACUAAAACAGUGGACACUGUGGAGACACAGGAUUUGUGAGUCUUUAGAUGGACUAACUUUACCCAUCCAUGCAGGAGCCAUGGAUAAUUUUAGACAGACAGGCAACUGAAGAAAGUCCCCCAAUGUCACUUACAGUGGGAUGAUGAUGCUCCAGGUACAACAAAGAGCAAAAGACCAGCUAUGCAUAGAAAUCCUGGUGCAUAGCAUACUAAGGAGGAUUAUUUAAAAACGAACAAAGGUAUAUUUUUAAGUCAGUUCUGACUUCUAAGGUAGGAGUUCAAACUAAGCCAAAUUUCAUGAACAUAUCAUCAUUGAAACCAUGAUGGCUGAACU
ensembl:lincRNA Celrr cerebellum expressed regulatory RNA